rnacentral:rRNA from 1 species
GGGCCCGCACAAGCGGUGGAGCAUGUGGUUUAAUUCGAUGAUACGCGAGGAACCUUACCAGGGCUUAAAUGUAGAUUGCAUUAGCUAGAGAUAGCUAUUUCUUCGGACUAUUUACAAGGUGCUGCAUGGUUGUCGUCAGCUCGUGCCGUGAGGUGUCAGGUUAAGUCCUAUAACGAGCGCAACCCCUGUUGUUAGUUGCCAGCGAGUAAUGUCGGGAACUCUAACAAGACUGCCGGUGCAAACCGCGAGGAAGGUGGGGAUGACGUCAAAUCAUCACGGCCCUUACGCCCUGGGCCACACACGUGCUACAAUGGCCGGUACAGAGAGCAGCCACUACGCAAGUAGGCGCGAAUCUUCAAAACCGGUCUCAGUUCGGAUCGGAGUCUGCAACUCGACUCCGUG